UGAGCUUGAUCCCUGGCUCAGAACGAACGCUGGCGGCAGGCUUAACACAUGCAAGUCGAGCGCCCCGCAAGGGGAGCGGCAGACGGGUGAGUAACGCGUGGGAAUCUACCCUUUUCUACGGAAUAACGCAGGGAAACUUGUGCUAAUACCGUAUGAGCCCUUCGGGGGAAAGAUUUAUCGGGAAAGGAUGAGCCCGCGUUGGAUUAGCUAGUUGGUGGGGUAAAGGCCUACCAAGGCGACGAUCCAUAGCUGGUCUGAGAGGAUGAUCAGCCACAUUGGGACUGAGACACGGCCCAAACUCCUACGGGAGGCAGCAGUGGGGAAUAUUGGACAAUGGGCGCAAGCCUGAUCCAGCCAUGCCGCGUGAGUGAUGAAGGCCCUAGGGUUGUAAAGCUCUUUCACCGGUGAAGAUAAUGACGGUAACCGGAGAAGAAGCCCCCGGC
rnacentral:rRNA from 1 species